rnacentral:lncRNA from 1 species
AGCCGCCAGCUCGGACGCCACCUUGGCGUUCAUCGUGGGGCCCAGCAGCAUCAGCGCGCCGUCCUGCAGGUCCAUCAUGGAGUUCACCAGGCUCGCCGGCCCGCAGAUCGCACCUGGAAUCGUCAACACUUGUUAGUCAUUACUACUCCAAUGCUGAGUCAGGUGCUGCAAGAUUUCACAUAGGUUGAUGAUUUGUCAGAUGCAUGCAUACCUACAUGAUACUACAUGCAAGUUUGCGAGAGAUCAGUUGUUUGUUGGUGAUGGUGAGUGGGUUCAUGUUUGGUUCGGUGUAUCGCGCUAGGCACCAAAACCGCAACCACAAGAGACCAUCGGCACCGCUUGGAGCGAUGCCAUGACAGGACUACUACGGACCAAAGAAAAUGAAUGUGUGGGAUGUGCACCGUUCACGGGCUGGCAAUUAUUACUGGCAAGAGGAACAGCUCGCUCGCGCAAUGAUCAACCAGAUGGCGCGAAAACGCGCAAGGAGCCAAAGAAGGACGACCCCGUAGCGUAGCGUCGUCCAUGGACCGUGGAGAGCUAGCAGGCAGCUGAGGCUCCAUCAUUCGCGUCCGGCCGCGAGACGAUCGACGGUGGUGGUGGUGGCAUGCGAGGGAGCGUACGCGUGCGCGGCCAAAACGGGUUAGGUGGGACACCACGCGCACCAGCUAGAGAUAAGUAGCCACUGCUGGCUACAGACGAGUACUCAUGGUACGUACUCCUCCGUUCAGAAUUAUUUAUCUCGGAAAUGAAUAUAUUUAGAACUAAAAUACGUCUAGAUACAUCCAUUUUUGCGACAAGUAAUUUCGAACGAGGGGUACAUGUGAGGGUGAGCAUCGCUGACUCAUCGCUUCGUCCUUUUGGCCUUGUCUCCGCACGGGGGCGGCGACCACCUUGCGUGGGGUGCAACAGUGAGAGGCGCCCGUGUCGAGAGCCUCUUUGCAUAUAUGCAUGCUCCCGUCAAGUGAUGGCCCGGCCACCGGCAGUGAAUUACCCGCUACUGAAUUGUGCUUCUACAGUACUCACUCCGUAUAAAAUUUAGUAAAUCAGAAACAUUUAUUUUAAGAUGAAAGGAGUAAUAUGUUUUUACCAAAAUAUUCAUGAUUGUACUAUCCAGUAUCAGUAAGGUAGCCACUGCAGAUUUGGUUAGGGGGUUGGGUAGUGACUAAUCUAAAUAGAGCACGUGUUUUUAUCCACAGUUAGGCACAAGUAAUAGUACUAGUACUAUUAUAUGACCAACUACAUAAACUAAGGAUUACGAUUGAUCAUAUCAUAAUCGUUACUUAGAGGGGUACCAGUUUCUCCUAAUUACUACUCAACGCUGUUCCAUCAUAUUCUUACCAUUUUCUCCUAAUAAUUAUAGUACUACUCACCGCUAUUCCAUCAUUAUUCCAGACCGUUUUUUAAACAUGGAUAUACUAUUCUUUUCUUUUCUUUUUUCUAGUUGAACCUAUGCAGCCCCGGGAUGUCCCGUGUCUCAGGGCAUUGCAUGUGAGCUAGCACUGCUGCUUUGAGCGUAGCUAGCCCCACCAUGCAUGGUAGCACGUACCAUCUGUUUGGGUGUGUCAAGUGAUACUACUGCCGUAGUUUUUUCCUAACUUUUUGAGAACUAAUGACACGUCCGGAGAAAAGCAAUGCUAUUCAUACGUUGUAUACUAGUUUUACAAAAACGUUACGCACCAGUUAAAUAAGAUGACGGUUGACUAAAAACGUGGGGUUGUUGCAAUCCAAAAUAAAAAACUAGGUAGUACGUAUGGACUUUGUCGAACUUUUAAGUUGGGGAGAUAGGCUUGCAUGCGUGGGACUUUUAACCAGCAUACGUGGAUCGUUGUAAGCAACAGCUGUUGCCCUUUCUUGUCUUUGCAUGCGUGCAUGGAACAUGCAACAUAACCUGGGAGUAGUUCCGGGAUGUGUGCGUCCUUACCGGCGAUGAUGUCGGCGCCGCCGCUGAUGAACUUGGACACGCUGUGGACGACGACGUCGGCGCCGAGCCGCGCGGGCGAGACGACGACGGGGGUGAAGGUGUUGUCCACCACCAGCUUGGCCCCGGCCUCGUGCGCCACCCGCGCCAGCAUCGGGAUGUCGGCCACGGCCAGCGUCGGGUUCGACAUCGUCUCCACGUACACCACCCGCGUCUCCCCCGGCCUGAUGGCCGCGCGCACGGCCGCCUCGUCGUCCGCGUCCACGAACGUCGCCUGCACGCCGGAGGUGCGCGGCAGGAACCGGGACAGCAGCGCGUGGGUGCCGCCGUACAGGCAGCGCGACGCCACCACGUGCCCGCCGGCGCCCACCAGCUGCAUCAGCACGCAGGAGAUGGCCGACAUGCCGGACGCCGUGCAGUAGGCGGCCUCGGUCCCCUCCAGCGCGGCCAUCUGCCGCCCCAGCGCCAGCACCGUCGGGUUGAAGUGGCGG